rnacentral:rRNA from 1 species
UACGAAGGGUGCAAACGUUGCUCGGAAUUAUUGGGCGUAAAGCGCACGUAGGCGGCUUGGCAAGUCGGAUGUGAAAUCCCUCGGCUCAACCAAGGAAGUGCAUCCGAAACUGCUGAGCUUGAGUACUUAAGAGGAUCGCGGAAUUCCCGGUGUAGAGGUGAAAUUCGUAGAUAUCGGGAGGAACACCAGUGGCGAAGGCGGCGACCUGGACAGGUACUGACACUCAACUACGAAAGCGUGGGUAGCAAACAGG